rnacentral:lncRNA from 1 species
CGGAUUUGGUUCUUGUGAACGUUGACAUCGAUUCAUUCCAAAUUUACUCUCUCGGGGCAAAAUAGAAUAAUAUAAUUAGGUUUUACUCUUUGUUCGAUAGAAUGCAAAAAAGUACUCAUUGCAAAGUUAUACUGUUAGGGCGCAACUGAGUAGUCUAAUGUUGUUCCGAUUUUGGAUCUUGUGAACGUAGAUAUCAAUUAGUUCCAAAUUUAUUCUCUCAGGGCAAAAUAGAACAAUAUAAUUAGGUUUUAUUCUUUGUUCGAUAGAAUGAGAAAAAACACUCAUUGCAAAUUUAUAUUGUUAGAGCGCAACAGAGUAGUCUAUUGUUGUUCCGGUUUUGGUUCUUGUGAAGGUUGACAUCGAUUCGUUCCAAAUUUACACUCUCGGGGCAUAAUAGAAUAAUAUAAUUAGCUUUUACACUUUGUUCGAUUGAAUGAAAAAAAGUACUCGUUGCAAAGUUAUACUGUUAGGGCGCAACUGAGUAAUCUAUUAUUGUUCCGGUUUUGUUUCUUAUAAAGGUUGACAUCGAUUCAUUCCAAAUUUACACUCUCGGGGCAUAAUAGAACAAUAUUAUUAGCUUUUACU